UACGUAGGGGGCGAGCGUUGUCCGAAGUUACUGGGCGUAAAGCGCGCGUAGGCGGCCACUUAAGUCUGGGGUGAAAGGUUCAGCGCUCAACGCGAACAGUGCCUUGGAUACUGGGUGGCUUGAGUCUGGGAGAGGGUAGUGGAAUUCCUGGUGUAGCGGUGAAAUGCGUAGAGAUCCGGAAGAACACCGGUGGCGAAGGCGGCAUCCUGGACCGACACUGACGCUGAGGAGCGAAAGCCAGGGGAGCAAACGGG
rnacentral:rRNA from 1 species